GGCCUUGUAGCUCAGCUGGUGGAGCAUGCGCGUACAAAGCGUAGGCGGCGUUCAUGCGUGAGUUCGAAUCCCAUCGAGGUUA
rnacentral:tRNA from 1 species